GUUACAUGUAGUACUACAGAUAGCAAUACCUGCAUUGAUAAUAUUUAUACCAACUUACCUGAAUCACAAGUAACCUUUCAAGUUUUAGAAACAUAUUUUUCAGACCAUAAAGCAAUCUGUGCUUUGCUAAACUGCUUUUGAUAUGAUUUGCCUUUGGUAAAUGCAAAUUUAAUAGCUAUGAUUUAAUAUAAUGCUUGCUGUAAUUGUCUGAUUUGAUCAUGUUUUUUAUAUAUUCAACAGCAUGUAAUUUCAAUUGUGAUAAAACAACCUUGGCUUGUCUACAACAUCAUGCAGUCUGUAUGAAAGUAAACGACCAGUAUGCAAUAAUGUCUAAUAACCUCUCUCCAAUCACAUUUUAUUCACAAAUAAGUGAUAAGACUGCAAAACUAAAAAAA